AACGAACGCUGGCGGCAUGCCUAACACAUGCAAGUCGAACGAGACCUUCGGGUCUAGUGGCGCACGGGUGCGUAACGCGUGGGAACCUGCCCUUAGGUUCGGAAUAACUCCCCGAAAGGGGUGCUAAUACCGGAUAAUGUCUUCGGACCAAAGAUUUAUCGCCUUUGGAUGGGCCCGCGUUGUAUUAGCUAGUUGGUAGGGUAAAAGCCUACCAAGGCGACGAUCCAUAGCUGGUCUGAGAGGAUGAUCAGCCACACUGGGACUGAGACACGGCCCAGACUCCUACGGGAGGCAGCAGUGGGGAAUAUUGGACAAUGGGCGAAAGCAUGAUCCAGCAAUGCCGCGUGAGUGAUGAAGGCCUUAGGGUUGUAAAGCUCUUUUACCCGGGAUGAUAAUGACAGUACCGGGAGAAUAAGCUCCGGCUAACUCCGUG
rnacentral:rRNA from 1 species